UAAUUUUGCUGUUUGCAAUGUUUUGCAAUUAAAUGAUUGUGAGCUGAUCUCAUUCUCUCUCCCCAGUGGAAGCUGCUAAUCACAUGGCAGAGAGAGUCCAGCAGAGGGAGCUAGAGACCCAACAGAGCUCCCAGCUGCAGGCGAACAUGGAGAAAUUGAAAGAGGACUGGGCGGAGUUUCUGAAGGAGCAGCAGAGACUAAAGGAAGAGGUGGAUGAGGAGCAUGCUAAGGCUGUUGGAGAAAUCAGCACUCGCUUUAGUGAAAAGAAGAAGGACUUGGCACAACUUUCUCUCUGAUCGCUCUUCUAUUGUAUCAACACUUUGUUAAACAAAUGGCAAACAGUACAGCAAACCUGUUGUACUUAAAGCUGUCAGAAAAACAAGAGCUGGUGUUAAUGAGCAGAUGAUCAUAUUUGAACUGGUAUAUGUAUUACAUUUCAGCAAUAUGUGAAAUACAUCACUCUCUGUAAGACUUCUGAUGAUAGGUUGAGCUCAGGUUAACAGGAAGCUUAAAUUUAGACCCUUCUGAGCACAGAAAUAAUGUUACAUGAUUUCAGUUAAAAGUCUAUGUAGAGCUAAACUAUUUAUAGAUAUUUUCCCCCUGAUGCUGAAUUUAGUUGGACCUUCUGUGUGAGAGAACAGUCCUCAAUAAAAUGCUUUUUUAUUUAAUUGUAAAAUGUAUUGUAUUCUCUAUGUGAAAAAAUACAUUUUGUGUUGCUGUGUUUGGUGUUAAGACACAUCUAUAGUGUCACCAUUUGCAGCAUAAUGCAUUUGACUUGAUAUGAUACAGUUUCAAUAUGAUGUUAAUAAAAGAAAUGCAUAGAA